GGCAAAACCCAGAUUAACCCCCUGCAUCCUGGUGGCCGGUGGUCAGUCUUUGCGAUUAAUGAUAUUUUCACCUGAGUGAACGCAUUCAAGACUUUCCUUUUAAAAGAUAAAUAUGCAGUCACUCGACCAACUCUGAACAGUCUUUUGGAAAGAAAAGAUGCUCAGAGGACACUGGUCCAGUCCAGCUCGGUCCCUGAUGUCUGCCUGUCGCAAAACUGUGUGAAGGGAGACCAAAUGUCAAUAAAAUCUCCCUGCCUGCCUCAACCGACUACAUAAUCAGCUCCAAGGUAAAUAAAUG